GCAGUUUGCAGGAAUCUUGCUUAACAGGCUAGUAAAUGAAACUGCUUUGUUAUUCUUCUGCACUGAAGUUGCAUAUUGUACUCAGUAUGUCUCCAUCAUUGUUAUCUUGAUUUAAAAUUGAACGAAAACCAGUUU